rnacentral:misc_RNA from 1 species
ACAUCCUUCAACCUUUCUUAGUUUCUUGACUAAAGGAAGGCUUGGACUUUGGGGGUUUUUCAUUGCUGGCCUCCUUUGAAGCCAGCUCCUCCUAAAUGUAUUAGUAGGGUCUGCUUUGCUGAUCCUUGACGUGAUAAGAUGUUUCUACGUCUUGGGUUUUGCACUGUCGCUUUGGACUCUGCUUCUAACCGUCUUGUGCAUUCAGGACAGAGUCAUGAA